rnacentral:rRNA from 1 species
UACGUAGGGUCCGAGCGUUGUCCGGAGUUACUGGGCGUAAAGCGCGCGCAGGCGGCGGUGUUGGCCCGGCGUGAAAGCCCCCGGCUCAACCGGGGAGGGUCGUCGGGGACCGCACCGCUUGAGGGCGGUAGGGGCUGGUGGAAUGCCUGGUGUAGUGGUGAAAUGCGUAGAGAUCAGGCGGAACACCUGUGGCGAAGGCGGCCAGCUGGGCCGUCCCUGACGCUGAGGCGCGAAGGCGUGGGGAGCGAACGAG